rnacentral:rRNA from 1 species
CGCGUAGGCGGCUCCGCGAGUCGGGGGUGAAAUCGUUCCGCUCAACGGGACAAGGGCCUCCGAGACCGCGGGACUCGAGGGGGAUAGGGGUGCGCGGAACUUCCGGUGGAGCGGUGAAAUGCGUAGAUAUCGGAAGGAACGCCGGUGGCGAAAGCGGCGCACUGGAUCCCUACUGACGCUGAGGCGCGAAAGCCAGGGGAGCAAACG